rnacentral:lncRNA from 1 species
CAUUUGGCUUGAUUCCUGCUCCCUGUCAUUGGGCAAUUAAGUUAUGUGUUGUUUUUCAGCGUGGUAGAUGACUGACUUCUGGAGUUUGCUGCAUCAAGCAAGAUGGAAGAUGGGAAACCAGUGAACUGAGUCAGGUAAGACAGCCUCAGGUCUGGGCCUCAGACAUUCAUCCCUCCCAGGCAGCAAAGUGUUUCCCAGAGCUCUCAGCUUCCUCCCACCUGGAGCACAGCCCCACACCAGAGGAUGAAGCAGCAGGUCAGAAAAGAGACAACAAACAUCUUGCUUCUGGAAAAUGGAUUUACACAGGAAGCCUGACUUGGCUUCCACACAGGGCCUCUGACCCUAAGAGCAGAUCCCACCUGACCACAGAAGGUGAGACCAAAGGACCAAGAAUAUGAAAACUGGAUGUCAAAGCCUUUUCAGCCCCAGGUGAGCUCUGCUAACUGUGUUCCCCAUGUUGCUUGUGAUCUAAUUACCCCCUCAAAGAUUCCCCUUUUAUUCUUUAUUUUGAGACAUUACUUGAGACAUUAUUAAGUUGCCCAAUCUGGCCUCAAACUUGUGAUCCUUCUGCCUCAGCCUCCCAGAGAACUGGGAUUACAGGUGUGUGCCACUGAGCCCUGUACAAUUCUACAUUUUUAUGGAUAUGUACAC